rnacentral:snRNA from 1 species
GCAGGUAAGGGCAAUCUGGCUGUGACUUCUGACACCCCACUGAUUGUCAACAUGGAUUCCACUGAUCUGGCUGGCUAGGUUGGUGUGUCCUUUCUCUCUCACCAGUUCAUGUCUGUCCCACCAAAACUCUGUGCUCUGCUGACGAAGACAAGCUUCCCAAUAGAAGACCAGUUUUUAGUCCAGUCCCUAGCUAGGACCAUCAAACAAGUUCUUAAGAAACAGACUGGAAGAAUUAUGAAGUUAAAAAAAAAAAGAAUGAAAGAAAAGAAAAGAAACAGGCUGCACAUGACACAGAAAUUCUCUGCUGACUU